rnacentral:rRNA from 1 species
UAGGGAAUCUUCCGCAAUGGGCGAAAGCCUGACGGAGCAACGCCGCGUGAGUGAUGAAGGUCUUCGGAUCGUAAAACUCUGUUAUUAGGGAAGAACAAAUGUGUAAGUAACUAUGCACAUCUUGACGGUACCUAAUCAGAAAGCCACGGCUAACUACGUGCCAGCAGCCGCGGUAAUACGUAGGUGGCAAGCGUUAUCCGGAAUUAUUGGGCGUAAAGCGCGCGUAGGCGGUUUUUUAAGUCUGAUGUGAAAGCCCACGGCUCAACCGUGGAGGGUCAUUGGAAACUGGAAAACUUGAGUGCAGAAGAGGAAAGUGGAAUUCCAUGUGUAGCGGUGAAAUGCGCAGAGAUAUGGAGGAACACCGGUGGCGAAAGCGGCUCUCUGGUCUGUAACUGACGCUGAGGCUCGAAAGCGUGGGGAGCGAACAGG